rnacentral:rRNA from 1 species
GACGAACGCUGGCGGCGUGCUUAACACAUGCAAGUCGAACGGAAAGGCCCUGCUUUUGUGGGGUGCUCGAGUGGCGAACGGGUGAGUAACACGUGAGUAACCUGCCCUUGACGUUGGGAUAACUUCAGGAAACUGGGGCUAAUACCGGAUAGGAGCUCCUGCUGCAUGGUGGGGGUGGGAAAGUUUCGGCGGUUGGGGAUGGACUCGCGGCUUAUCAGCUUGUUGGUGGGGUAGUGGCUUACCAAGGCUUUGACGGGUAGCCGGCCUGAGAGGGUGACCGGCCACAUUGGGACUGAGCUACGGCCCAGACUCCUACGGGAGGCAGCAGUGGGGAAUAUUGCACAAUGGGCGGAAGCCUGAUGCAGCAACGCCGCGUGCGGGAUGACGGCCUUCGGGUUGUAAACCGCUUUCGCCUGUGACGAAGCGUGAGUGACGGUAAUGGGUAAAGAAGCACCGGCUAACUACGUG